rnacentral:rRNA from 1 species
GAUGAACGCUGGCGGCGUGCUUAACACAUGCAAGUCGAACGGUGAAAGAGGAGCUUGCUCCUCUGGAUCAGUGGCGAACGGGUGAGUAACACGUGAGUAACCUGCCCUUGACUCUGGGAUAAGCACUGGAAACGGUGUCUAAUACCGGAUACGAACUUCAGCCGCAUGGCUAGGAGUUGGAAAGAAUUUCGGUCAAGGAUGGACUCGCGGCCUAUCAGCUAGUGGUGAGGUAAUAGCUCACCAAGGCGACGACGGGUAGCCGGCCUGAGAGGGUGACCGGCCACACUGGGACUGAGACACGGCCCAGACUCCUACGGGAGGCAGCAGUGGGGAAUAUUGCACAAUGGGCGCAAGCCUGAUGCAGCAACGCCGCGUGAGGGGACGAC